rnacentral:rRNA from 1 species
GACGAACGCUGGCGGCGUGCUUAACACAUGCAAGUCGAACGGAAAGGCCCUGCUUUUGUGGGGUGCUCGAGUGGCGAACGGGUGAGUAACACGUGAGUAACCUGCCCUUGACUUUGGGAUAACUUCAGGAAACUGGGGCUAAUACCGGAUAGGAGCUCCUGCUGCAUGGUGGGGGUUGGAAAGUUUCGGCGGUUGGGGAUGGACUCGCGGCUUAUCAGCUUGUUGGUGGGGUAGCGGCUUACCAAGGCUUUGACGGGUAGCCGGCCUGAGAGGGAGACCGGCCACAUUGGGACUGAGAUACGGCCCAGACUCCUACGGGAGGCAGCAGUGGGGAAUAUUGCACAAUGGGCGGAAGCCUGAUGCAGCAACGCCGCGUGCGGGAUGACGGCCUUCGGGUUGUAAACCGCUUUCGCCUGUGACGAAGCGUGAGUGACGGUAAUGGGUAAAGAAGCACCGGCUAACUACGUG